GAUGAACGUUAGCUACAGGCUUAACACAUGCAAGUCGAGGGGAAACGGCAUUUAGUGCUUGCACUGAAUGGACGUCGACCGGCGCACGGGUGAGUAACGCGUAUCCAACCUACCCAUUACUGUGGGAUAACCUGCCGAAAGGCAGACUAAUACCGCAUGGUCUUCGAUGACGGCAUCAGAUUUGAAGUAAAGAUUUAUCGGUAAUGGAUGGGGAUGCGUCUGAUUAGCUUGUUGGCGGGGUAACGGCCCACCAAGGCAACGAUCAGUAGGGGUUCUGAGAGGAAGGUCCCCCACAUUGGAACUGAGACACGGUCCAAACUCCUACGGGAGGCAGCAGUGAGGAAUAUUGGUCAAUGGACGAGAGUCUGAACCAGCCAAGUAGCGUGCAGGAUGACGGCCCUAUGGGUUGUAAACUGCUUUUGUAUGGGGAUAAAGUCAAUCACGUGUGAUUGUUUGCAGGUACCAUACGAAUAAGGACCGGCUAAUUCCGUGCCAGCAGCCGCGGUAAUACGGAAGGUCCGGGCGUUAUCCGGAUUUAUUGGGUUUAAAGGGAGCGUAGGCCGGAGAUUAAGUGUGUUGUGAAAUGUAGACGCUCAACGUCUGACUUGCAGCGCAUACUGGUUUCCUUGAGUACGCACAACGUUGGCGGAAUUCGUCGUGUAGCGGUGAAAUGCUUAGAUAUGACGAAGAACUCCGAUUGCGAAGGCAGCUGACGGGAGCGCAACUGACGCUUAAGCUCGAAGGUGCGGGUAUCGAACAGG
rnacentral:rRNA from 1 species